GUGACCUCAAAUCAGGUAGGACUACCCGCUGAACUUAAGCAUAUCAAUAAGCGGAGGAAAAGAAACUAACAAGGAUUCCCCUAGUAACUGCGAGUGAAGCGGGAAAAGCUCAAAUUUAAAAUCUGGCGGUCUUUUGGCUGUCCGAGUUGUAAUCUAGAGAAGUGUUAUCCGCGCUGGACCGUGUACAAGUCUCCUGGAAUGGAGCAUCAUAGAGGGUGAGAAUCCCGUCUUUGACAUGGACUGCCAGGGCUUUUGUGAUGCGCUCUCA
rnacentral:rRNA from 1 species